GUCAGGCGUGGUGGUGCAUGCCUGUAGUCCCAGCUACUCAGGAGGCUGAGGCUGGAGGAUCUCUUGAGUCCAGGAGUUCUGGGCUGUAUUGCACUAUGCUGAUCGGGUGUCUGCACUAAGUUCAUCAUCAAUAUGGUGACCUCCCGGGAGCGGGGGACCACUAGGUUGCCUAAGGAGGAGUGAACCGGCCCACGUCGGAAAUGGGAGCAGGUCAAAACUCCUGUGCUGAUCAGCAGUGGGAUCGCACCUGCGAAUAGCCACUGCACUCCAGCCUGGGCAACAUAGCGAGACCCCGUCUCU
rnacentral:SRP_RNA from 1 species